AAAAAAACUUGUUAGCAGUAUAAAGUAGCAGAAAAAGGUGGAGCUGGUGAGACGUGGAAGACUCUUUUGAUGUGGUGUGGGCUAGGACAGGGGGGAGAAAAAAUAAAACUUUUUUAAAAAAGAGAGUUAUUAAUAAAAUGUAUAUGGAUUUAUUUACAUGGCCACCAUCUGUUUCGUAGGUGUUUCCUCAGGGUUGGAUCCAGGUGGAGGUUUUUUUGAAGAACCGAUCCAGGUGGAGGUGUCUAACAAUAGAAAGAGACAACAAUGAGUUUUAGUGAUGACUUAAUUUAUGUGAGUCACUGAUGUGUAAUCGUGAUUGUAAGCCAAAAAAACUCUGGAUAAUAGAAACACAAAUGGAUGCAACAGUGUUGAUGAUGUUAGUAGUUUGUAAGUAUGGCAGCUCGUGCUCGCCCUGAGUUGCUCCUGGUGGUGAUGUACCGGAAGGUAUCUGCAAUUUGAGUUCACACAAUUUUUUUAGACAUGUGUGAUAACAAUUAAAGAUAUGUUUGCUGCUAUAUUUAUAUUUGGCUAGCUGAAGGCAUUACAAUAACAUAAGAAAUGUAACACACCAAGGUAUAGGUAAUCUUCCCCAAAUCAAGAUUAAGGUAUCUUUGCUGGUAGUUUUAUAUUGUUUCAGUCUAACUUAUAAAUAAAUUCUAAAAAUAUGCUACUUUACCUUGUUCUAGGAAAUUCAGAAAGAGGGGAAGAGGGACGAGAGAAGGGAGAGCAACAUAAAGAUGCAUUCAUGAAACAUGAUCUCUAGGCCUAGGCUAUUCACUGAGAUUGCCUAAAUGGCCACUAUACAUAAUUAAAAGAUGUUAACACAUACAUGUGCUAGCAGCACUAUGGAAACAUUAACUCAGGUGUUGUCCUCCAAAAGUCAUGUCCUUAGUGACCAUGCAUUUCAAUUUAAUUGGAGCAAAACAUACAGGUCAUAAAAAGGACUAAUUAUUUUUGAGCUCCCACCAAGGAUCAAUCACUGGCAGGGCAAAAAUAUUAAUGAUAGAUCAUAGGGAUGGUUGCUUUCAGGCUAUUAGCUAUAGAGAGACAAUAAAAAGAAGAAAAGAGGAAUGUUAUUUUGCAGUAACUGCUGCAUUGGGUACAUAAGUCUUAUUCUUUUUUUCUUUAUAGAACAAUCAGGGUAAAUUAAAUCUAAAACAAAUUAUGGAUAGGUAACAAUUGUUCAUUUAACUGGGACCAUAUAAAGGACUUAUUAGCCAUUGCAUCAUUUUACUGGAAGUUACAUACGUCAUAAAGGACUUAUCGAGCACUACAUCAAAAAACCUAGCUAGUUCAUGAUAUCACCCAAAGGCUGACCAACCAAGGCAGUGCUAAUUGAGAAUGGAAAAUUGAAGAGUGUUAGCUCUGUAUAGUAGGAUUUCAAAAAUUUCUAAGUGCAAAUAUGCAAGCAUAGGAGUAAAAAACAGACCAAAUGCUAUCUCUGAAAUUAGUUGAACCGCUCUCCUUUUAUGGGUAGCUCAGGAACCAAGACCUGCAAGGGGAUAAUAAAUAACUGAAAUGAUGAUGUUAUCUCAAAAUGCUCUUUCAAAAAUUCACUUAUGGAAUGUGGUGUUUCUCAAUCCAAAAUUCACGCACAAGGUAGUCAUUCUAAGAAACCUAAGCAAGCAUUAACCAAAACAACUUAGCUAAAAACUUGAUACUUACCACUCAGUAAAUAAUUCAAGAAAAAAGAGCAACAUAGUAUAAAUUCACAAAAAUGAAGCAAGUUCCUUCAACAUGAUAUAAAUUAUAGGUUGAAACUGUAUCAAACUGGAAAACCAAGGUUCUAUAUAUAUAGAAAAAUAGCACAAUGGUAGAAGAAAUCUGAGAAAGAAAGGAACAAAAUGGCAACCAUGCUCAAUGCAGGAGUGAGUAUCUGCCGGUACACAGUAUCUGCACACA
rnacentral:lncRNA from 1 species